rnacentral:rRNA from 1 species
UACGUAGGGGGCAAGCGUUGUCCGGAAUCAUUGGGCGUAAAGAGCGUGUAGGCGGUCCGAUAAGUCCGCUCUGAAAGCCCGGGGCUCAACCCCGGGAGGCGGGCGGAUACUGUCGGGCUAGAGUCCGGAAGAGGCAAGUGGAAUUCCUGGUGUAGCGGUGAAAUGCGCAGAUAUCAGGAGGUACACCGAUGGCGAAGGCAGCUUGCUGGGACGGUACUGACGCUGAGACGCGAAAGCGUGGGGAGCAAACAGG